rnacentral:miRNA from 1 species
CAGUAGGUCUGGGCGGGGCCUGAGAUUCUGCAUGUCUCCUGAGCUUCCGUGUGAUACCAGUGCCACUG